rnacentral:piRNA from 1 species
UAUGCUCGAGAUUUUCAUCAU